rnacentral:rRNA from 1 species
AGUGAACGCUGGCGGUAGGCCUAACACAUGCAAGUCGAACGGCAGCACAGUAAGAGCUUGCUCUUACGGGUGGCGAGUGGCGGACGGGUGAGGAAUACAUCGGAAUCUACUUUUUCGUGGGGGAUAACGUAGGGAAACUUACGCUAAUACCGCAUACGACCUACGGGUGAAAGCAGGGGAUCUUCGGACCUUGCGCGAUUGAAUGAGCCGAUGUCGGAUUAGCUAGUUGGCGGGGUAAAGGCCCACCAAGGCGACGAUCCGUAGCUGGUCUGAGAGGAUGAUCAGCCACACUGGAACUGAGACACGGUCCAGACUCCUACGGGAGGCAGCAGUGGGGAAUAUUGGACAAUGGGCGCAAACCUGAUCCAGCCAUACCGCGUGGGUGAAGAAGGCCUUCGGGUUGUAAAGCCCUUUUGUUGGGAAAGAAAAGCAGCAGGUUAAUACCCCGCUGUUCUGACGGUACCCAAAGAAUAAGCACCGGCUAACUUCGUGC